AAAAAGACAAACCCUGGUUUCCGUGUCCAACGUUUGACCAUCCGUAUUAUUUGAAAAAAUUAUAAAAAAAUUAAAAAGAUAAGUUAUGCAUAAAGUAUUAACCAUAUUUUAUCAUCUAACAACAAUGAAAAUACUAAUUAUAAAAAAAUUUCAUAUAAGACGGAUGGUCAAACGUUGGCACGGAAACCUAGGGUUUAUCUUUUU
rnacentral:pre_miRNA from 1 species